GACGUAGGGCGCGAGCGUUGUCCGGAUUUAUUGGGCGUAAAGAGCUCGUAGGCGGCCAGGUAGGUCUGCUGUGAAAACUCGAGGCUCAACCUCGAGACGUCGGCGGAAACCAUCUGGCUAGAGUCCGGAAGAGGAGAGUGGAAUUCCUGGUGUAGCGGUGAAAUGCGCAGAUAUCAGGAAGAACACCCGUGGCGAAGGCGGCUCUCUGGGACGGUACUGACGCUGAGACGCGAAAGCGUGGGGAGCGAACAGG
rnacentral:rRNA from 1 species